rnacentral:tRNA from 1 species
AAGGGUGUAGCUCAGGUGGUAGAGUGCACGCUUAGCAUGCAUGAAGUCCUGGGUUUAAUCCCCAGUACCUUCU